rnacentral:lncRNA from 1 species
ACGAUUAUAUUCUUGUUCACCUUGAUGUUCCAACGUUGCAUAUAUAACAAUAAUUCGCAGUAUGAAAACUUCAAUCUUUUCUUAUAGAAACAAAGAGUUUUUUAAAGUAUAAUUUGUCAAAGUGAAAUAGUAAAUUCAAAUGUGGUCGAGCUAUUCAACUUUUUGUGGAAGAUGUGUUUGAUCUCUAUGAGCCAAUUAAAAUCACUAUUAAGCAUAGCAGGAGGCUUUCUCCGGAGUCGUCAUAUUGACUCCUAAAUUUUAGAUAAACACAAUCCACUACCCUCAGAAAAUUGAGAUAAACACAAUCCAUCUCUUUGCUAAAACAAAAUGCAAGGGUUCGAUUUC